GACAGAGGGUGCAAACGUUGUUCGGAAUUACUGGGCGUAAAGCGCGUGUAGGCUGUUUUGCAAGUCGGAUGUGAAAGCCCUGGGCUCAACCUAGGAAGUGCACUCGAAACUGCAGAACUGGAGUCCUGGAGAGGAAGGCGGAAUUCUCGGUGUAGAGGUGAAAUUCGUAGAUAUCGAGAAGGACACCGGUGGCGAAGGCGGCCUUCUGGACAGUGACUGACGCUGAGA
rnacentral:rRNA from 1 species